GUUCGAAAGCCUCCUCCAGCGUGUCGCCCCAUGCGUGUAAUCUAAGGCACAUAAGGCAUAAAGGCCAUCCAAUUCAAUAAUGAAGACGAAUAAAACAGAUAUAUCUAGAAAUUGACAGAAAUAAUGAGACAGAAAUAAUGAUAAUGACAGAAGCGAAUAAGCUGACGAUACUGCACGGUGAAAUGUAAUGCAAGAUUGACACUGUUUUGCAGCAGCAAGUUUGAUUCUUCACCUCACCACCGUCGUUUAGUUGCACCUGUUUCGUUGCCCACGAAACCAAAUGCGAGUCGUUAAACGUAAUUAUAUCGAUCAUUGUGCAACAGUGUGCGGUGGUGUGCCCACCACGCGGCUGUGUGCCUUUCGUUAAGUGAUAACGCGUGCGUCGGGUUGCUAGAAGUAGUCACCGUUCGGUGAACGGUGAUCGGUAUAAACAAGCCAAUGCUACUCGAGAGAGGCCUACAUAUCUUUCUCCUGAACUAACAGAGAAGCAGGGACGUUUUAUUAUUUAAAUUCGCGAAAUACUACAAACCCGAAUUGAAGCUCCAAGCGACAAAAAAUUUACCGAAGAGAUAAAAUAUAUUAUACAUAGAAAGCUUAUAUUCAUGUGUAAUUUUUGAGAGUUAAGGAUCAUAUUCCCCAAAACUACUUUUAUUUACAAUUUUUGCAAAUGAUACUUUGUGUUUAAAUAAUUUUUUACGUUUUAACCGCCCACUUUUUCCUUUCUUUACGUAAAUAAGGACGUAAAAUAGAUAUGACUUAGGGCCCAUAGAUAAGCUGAAACGCUACUGACGGAUAUGUGCACACGCACCCGUUUUUUAUGCAAUGGGGUAGGAAAAGACGCGUCGAUUACUUCUGAUCGCUAUGCGCGUCUUUCUUUCUUUUUAAUUUGACAAGGACUAUCUUUUUUUACCUUUACAAGGACUCGUUGCACUAUCGCUUGCGCUCUGAUCCGCGCGAGUGCAUUUAUGCAGAUUAUCAUGCAAUAUGUGUCAUACAAGAGAUGUUGGUGAUGAAAAUGCAAAUCGGCAACUUGUUUACCAUGUAUAUUAAAUACGAUUAUUUACUCGAGUUGGUCUACAUCAAAUAUAUUAAAAUGAUAACAUCAACGAAAAUCACAUGCGCUUCCUGUACGUUUAAGAAUUAUUAUAUAAUUUUAAUUAUUAUUUAUG